rnacentral:tRNA from 1 species
GGGCGCCUAGCUCAGUUGGUAGAGCAGCUGACUCUUAAUCAGCGGGUCGCAGGUUCGAAUCCUGCGGUGCCCACCA